rnacentral:rRNA from 1 species
AUUGAACGCUGGCGGAAUGCUUUACACAUGCAAGUCGAGCGGCAGCGCGGGGCAACCUGGCGGCGAGCGGCGAACGGGUGAGUAAUGCAUCGGAACGUACCCCGUCGUGGGAAGUAACUACCCGAAAGGGUAGCUAAUACCGCAUACGACCUGAGGGUGAAAGACGGGGGACCGGAAAGGCCUCGCGCGAUGGGAGCGGCCGAUGCCGGAUUAGCUAGUUGGUAGGGUAAAGGCCUACCAAGGCGACGAUCCGUAGCUGGUCUGAGAGGACGACCAGCCACACUGGAACUGAGACACGGUCCAGACUCCUACGGGAGGCAGCAGUGAGGAAUAUUGGGCAAUGGGCGAAAGCCUGACCAGCCACGCCGCGUGAGUGAUGAAGGCCCUCGGGUCGUAAAGCUCUGUGGAGAGGGACGAAAACCCUGGUUUCAAAUAAGGCUCCAGGCUUGACGGUACCUCUUUAGCAAGCACCGGCUAACUCUGUGCCAGCAGCCGCGGUAAUGUCGAUA